CUGUCGGCUUCCUUUUCCGUGGGGUUAACGCUCGGGAUUCGCGAGAUGCAGUAAGAAUCCAUUGCUCUAUAGAUCAAUGAUCUCUUAUGGGAACAAGAAAUCAGUCGUUUCCUCAUCGCUCCUAUAUGUGUCUCCAUUAUUUAGUUGCUGUAUCUAAGGUCUGAGCAUCUUAAAUAAUAAAUGUUCAUCAUUACGAGCAUUAUAAUACAAUUUGAUCUCCAAGAGGAAUCUUGUUCAAUCAUUGAGCUUUAAUAACUCACCGACCUUGUUGCUUUUCUAAUGAAGGAAGACUAGAUUUAUAUCAAGUGGCAAAUGGAGAACUGCUUGAUGGAGUCAUCCCUCCUCUCCCGGGUCUUAGACCAAUAAAUGUUGAAAUGCUUAAUCUGCCUUUCGAAGAAGAUUUCUUGCAGGUGUUAAGAGGUCGUGCUAGCCACCUUGCUAAAUGCAGAUGAUGAGUGAUGAUAUGUGCCACAAUUUGGUACACGACAGAAGGAUUGAGGGCUUGAGUUAAUGUCGAGAAUUGGCAUACUAAAUUAUCGGAAAUUACUUCUUUGACUAUAGAGGUAAGACAACGUACAUUGAUCGUCACUGUAGCCUCUCUAUUGGUAUGAGACUCGUGCAUGGAUUUUGGCCAAUAAUAUACUUCAUCAUACAUACCUGCCACAAAAUGGGCUAGUUAUGGUCAGACCAUCAAGCUCUGACAAGAUCCAACAAAUGGCCCUUUGGAGAGCUUGCCAACUCCAUAAGCUGGUAAGCGUACAAUCCUAUGGAGUGUUUGGACCACUGCUAUAGCUCCCUAAAAACACCAAAUCUUAUGUUGCAUGGGUUGAUCAAUGGGCACUAUCUCUCACUCUCUGAGAACAUCUUCUGAAGUUUUCUUAGAUUUGGCAGUCAUUGUUAUCAUAGAGAAUUUACAUUCUUGUUUGGUUUUGAGAGUGAAGAAAAACAUGCUCAUUUCAUGUUGGCAACUGACUCCACCUCCAUCUUCUUCACAGGGACCUUUUCCUCCAUACCCAUGGCAGGAGCACUCCUCAGCAGAAAACAACUUCUCGUGCAUCAUUAUGCUUGAAAGAUGGUAAAGGCAGCCUGAACUGUCACACAAGGUAAAAACUAGGAAAGUUCCAUCUCCUCUGCACUGAAACAUCAUACUCUAGGAGAAAAAAUGGAGCCAUGCAUCCACUUGAAGUAUGAAUAUUGUUGAUGCAAGAUGUUUGAGCAUUUGUUCUUGUUUGUUAUGAGGCACAAUAGCAAUGUCUUUUGUUGAUGAACGUCGUUGCAGCAAACAUUUUAGAGAUGACAAUCAAAACUUUGGACAGAAGGAAUCCUUUUCCUUAUUGAAAGGAGAUGAAUUAUUUUC